rnacentral:rRNA from 1 species
UGGGGAAUUUUGGACAAUGGGCGCAAGCCUGAUCCAGCCAUGCCGCGUGCGGGAAGAAGGCCUUCGGGUUGUAAACCGCUUUUGUCAGGGAAGAAAAGGUUCUGGUUAAUACCUGGGACUCAUGACGGUACCUGAAGAAUAAGCACCGACUAACUACGUGCCAGCAGCCGCGGUAAUACGUAGGGUGCAAGCGUUAAUCGGAAUUACUGGGCGUAAAGCGUGCGCAGGCGGUUAUGCAAGACAGAGGUGAAAUCCCCGGGCUCAACCUGGGAACUGCCUUUGUGACUGCAUAGCUAGAGUACGGUAGAGGGGGAUGGAAUUCCGCGUGUAGCAGUGAAAUGCGUAGAUAUGCGGAGGAACACCGAUGGCGAAGGCAAUCCCCUGGACCUGUACUGACGCUCAUGCACGAAAGCGUGGGGAGCAAACAGG